CCCUUAGAUGUUCUGGGCCGCACGCGUGCUACACUGAGUAAAUUAAUGGGUAAGGGAACACGAAAGUGCAACCUAAUCUUGAAAUUUGCUCGUGAUGGGGAUCGACGGUUGCAAUUUUCCGUCGUGAACGAGGAAUACCUUGUAGGCGCGUGUCAUCAUCACGCGCCGAAUACGUCCCUGCCCUUUGUACACACCGCCCGUCGCUCCUACCGAUUGAGUGAUCCGGUGAGGCUCUGGGACCUGGACGGAAAGAGCGUUUCGCUUGUUCUGUUUGGGAAACUUGGUCGAACCUUAUCAUUUAGAGGAAGGAGAAGUCGUAACA
rnacentral:rRNA from 1 species